rnacentral:lncRNA from 1 species
GUCCUCAGUUGAUUAUAGUCUCAAACAGUUUUCCAAUUUUUAUAUAUUUCAUUUUUAUUUACAUUUGAAUUUUUAUGCGUAAAUCUUAGCAUUUCUUCCAUCAUUUUUCUCUUUGCAUUUAAUCUUUUUUUUUAAUAUUAAAAAAACGUUGUCGUAGUACACAUCAGGGGUUACAUUGUAUAAUUUCCAGCAAAACUAACAGGGGAGGGACUACAUCAGAAAAAACAAUCUUCAUUGAGUGGCAAUAACUCAUAUAUUGAAGCAUACAAUGACGGCUCCCUCGUCUAGGUGACAACAUUUGCUGUUUGAAGUUUAUUUAUAU